UUACAGUACCUGUAACGAACUCAUAACAUUCCCAUUGCUCAUUAACGCGAGAAACAAAGAGUGAAUACAGAAUUAAAACUGGGGAUUCGAUAUCGAGAUAAAAUGGCGACAAGAGAAGUGGAAAUUGAGGGAGAUCUACAAUUCUUGAUACCAGUUGCUGAACCGGAUAACUUGAAGUCCAAAACGUCGUCGCCUUCAUCUUCUCCUGCCGUCUCCGCUUCCCACCGUCUUUCUGGCAUCGAGACAUUAUCCACCGUCAUUCGCAGCUGGGCUUCUAAAAAGUUUAUGACGGGAUGUGUCAUUCUUCUUCCAAUUGCUGUCACUUUCUACAUAACUUGGGGUUUUGUACACUUUGUGGAUGGUUUUUUCUCUCCGGUCUAUAAUCAUCUUGGGAUCAAUAUUUUCGGUCUUGGGUUUGCAACAUCUAUCACUUUUAUAUUUUUAGUCGGCAUUUUCAUGUCAUCUUGGUUAGGAGCUUCUGUUCUCACCAUUGGAGAAUGGUUUAUCAAGAAAAUGCCGUUCAUAAGCUAUAUAUAUUCUGCUUCCAAGCAAAUCAGUGCUGCAAUAUCUCCAGAUCAGACCAGUAAUGCCUUCAAGGAAGUGGCCAUUAUAAGACACCCUCGAGCUGGGGAAUAUGCAUUUGGAUUCAUAACUUCAACAGUGAUUCUACAGAGGAGGAUGGGUGAAGAAGAACUCUGCUGUGUCUAUGUGCCCACUAAUCAUCUCUAUGUUGGAGAUAUAUUUCUUAUAAGUGCCAAGGACAUUAUGAGGCCUAAUUUGUCUGUUCGAGAAGGAAUUGAAAUCAUAAUAUCUGGAGGCAUGUCAGUACCUCAGAUAUUGACCACAAGGGAUGCAGAAGCCAUUCCAGCAGCAAGACUUUGCAAAUACCCUUCGUCAACAGUAUAACCAUGACUAACAUACACAGAUUUUCUUUAUAACGGUCUCUUUGGUGUACAGAUAAUUGAAAAUCACAGGCAAUGAUCAGCAAUGAAGUUAAGGUGCUUUAUUAGAGUGUUUCGGAGGCAUAACUUAACAACUUCAUUUGGUGGAAACAGAAUUUCGUAUCAAACUUCUUCAAAAUCUUCAAGAAAGAUGCAAUCUUCUCCUCCAUUUCCUCCUUUACAACCUCCAACUGCCUCUUUACCUUUUAUGACAACGAGCACCGUGUAUCUUUCGACAUAGAACACGGCUUAUCGAUGCAGGAUACAGAAGCAAUUCCAUGGUUCGACUACGAGGGGAUUACAUCAACCAUGAGCUGCGUUAUUUGCUUGGAUUGCUUUUGGAAAGGUGACAGAUGCAAGAAACUCCCAAUUUGCAAUCACAUAUUUCAUGCUCAUUGUAUUGACCUUUGGUUGGUAAGAAAACUUACUUGCCCAACUUGCCGGUCCCCAUUGAAAAUCAAAGUGAGAUUGAAUGCUGUCUAAUUUCAUUUAUUCAUGCAAUUUGCAUCUAACUCAAACAGUGUAUGAUAAUUCAGUGCCUAUGGUCAAAUGUUAAUAUUUCAAAUUCAUUGCCA